GUCUAUGGCUAUAACACUCUGAUCUCAGAAGCUAAUCAGGGUAGGGCUAGCCAGUACUUUGAUGUAAGAGUGGCUGAGAAUACCAGGUGCUGUAGGCU
rfam:Macaca mulatta chromosome 19, whole genome shotgun sequence.